ensembl:rRNA 5S_rRNA 5S ribosomal RNA
CACAUUUGGUAGAGACUGUUGAAGCCACCCAGUCCCAGCAGACCCCAGAAGGUGGCCACAUUCGCUGAUGUUGGAACAAGGUCAUUAAGGGUGAAGCCUGGUGCCAGAUGUGU